rnacentral:rRNA from 15 species
GCAGAAUUCCGCGAAUCAUCGAGUCUUUGAACGCAAGUUGCGCCCGAGGCUUGUCCGAGGGCAUUUCCGCUAGAGCGUCACC